rnacentral:rRNA from 1 species
GAUCCUGGCUCAGGAUGAACGCUGGCGGCGUGCUUAACACAUGCAAGUCGAACGGAGCUUAUGUGAUAGAGACUUCGGUCAAUUGACCAUAAGCUUAGUGGCGGACGGGUGAGUAACGCGUGAGGAACCUGCCUUUCAGAGGGGGACAACAGUUGGAAACGACUGCUAAUACCGCAUGACACAUUCGGGCGGCAUCGCUUGAAUGUCAAAGAUUUUAUCGCUGAAAGAUGGCCUCGCGUCUGAUUAGCUAGUUGGUAGGGUAACGGCCUACCAAGGCGACGAUCAGUAGCCGGACUGAGAGGUUGACCGGCCACAUUGGGACUGAGAUACGGCCCAGACUCCUACGGGAGGCAGCAGUGGGGAAUAUUGGGCAAUGGGCGCAAGCCUGACCCAGCAACGCCGCGUGGAGGAAGAAGGUUUUCGGAUCGUAAACUCCUGUCCUCAGGGAAGAGUAGAAGACGGUACCUGAGGAGGAAGCCCCGGCUAACUACGUG